CGCCCACCCCAAAUCCUCUCGGGCUCUCGGCUUCUGCCCAAACAGACACCGACGACUACGCUGCUCGCCGACGCCCCACCCCUCGCCGUCGCUGGUUGCCGCAUCCGAGACCUACGAUCUCGCGGACUACGAAUUCAUCCAGGGCCGGACCUCGUCUACUCCUCCGCAGCCGACGCUAGCUGCCUGCCGCGCCGUGGCCUGCGGCCCCGCGACUCCAAGAUGUCUACGGAGAGCAUCUCUGCGAGGGCGGCAUCCCCGCCUGCAGCGGACAAGCUUUCCGGCGAUCCUCCUUCGCAGACGUCUAUUUCUAUCGCCUCGUCGUCCAGUGGCUCGAAGAUGUCGCCGGAGAGCACCUCUACGAAGGGGAUUUCGCCGCCUGCCACCUGUUCGCCUGAAAGCGCCGAAGACUUGCCCGAGAUUCAGGGGGUCAGGGAAAGCAACGAGACGGAGGCCGAUCACGAGCGCACAAGUAGCUGGGCAGCGGCCUUUGGAUCUUUUCUGCGACGAAGCAGCUGGACCGUGAAGCCAAGAUACAAAAGGCCUAUGCAUUCUUUAGCGAACAAAGAAGAUGCCAAUGAUUGCCCUGAAACAAUACCUCUGCUGUCGCAUGCGGACGUGGUGGACCUGCACAGGCACGCCACGGAGCUCUCGGAGUUGAGCGAGCAUCCAGCCCUCGUAGCUCCAGCCGCCUAUUUGGCCAAGGCGCUUGGGGUGCUAGAGGAUGGCGAUUCAAGCGCCAGGUCCUUGGGCGAGCUGAAGCAGCGUCCGCCUUGGCCAGAGCUGCCGCCUACCCCAAGCUAAAGAAGGAUGCCGCUGGAACUGCGAGGAGGGUGGCAUGCGAAGCCGCCGCAAUGGCAUCCCAGGUGAGGCUGAGGCUGAGGCCCCCAGGCUGAACUGCUUUGCGAGGAUUUGCUGCUGUCCCUGCUUGUCGAUGCCAUGUGCAGGGUGCGUCUGUCCAUGGUGGUGCAAGGACGCCGAGCUGCCUCUCCACCGGCAGGAUGUCGAUCGACAGAAGGCACUUCUAGACAAGCUUUCAGCUCUUUACUGCUUGUCGAUGCCAGCAUCCUUGGCUUUGCUCCCGACGCUGCACACUAUUAUUCCCAAGGAUCAGCACGUACUCCUUGCCUAUACUUACGGGGCGAUCUUUUCAUCGGCAUCUGUUGGUCUUGUUUUGAGCCUCCAUGCUUUGGAUCGCUUUGAUUUAGAGCUGGCACGGUUUCUGAGCAGAUUCAGUCUCGUGGCAUUGUAAGCACUAGUAGUUACAUAUCUGUACUUUGCCCUGUCACCGGAUCACCUUGCUUUUCUCUGGCUGUGUUCGGGUAUACUUGCUGUGGGCGAUGGCUACGCAUGGAUUAGGAGUUGUUGCUUCGGUCUGGAAGAUCCUUCCUUCCAGCAGGCGCUGCCACAAGACGAGCAGGAGCAGCCAACAGGUGAUAACUGAAGCUAGGAGAUAGUGGUUGAGUCUUAACUCUCCAAACAAUGUUCGUCAAAAACAUAUCUCCAAACAAGAUCCUCUUUGCUGUAGGAUGUUAGCCUGGCAUCUCUGAAUGCAUACAUAAGGAUAUGUUGUGGAAUGCUUCUUGGAAGUUUUUACGGGCACUUGAAGACUUUUAGACCAUUGAUAACUGGAAAUUGGUCUUUUUUUUUCUUUUCUUUUUUGCGAGAACUUGACUAGAUUGUUGAGUGGUGGUGGCUGGGUGGCCAUGGUGGUGUUGGUGUCUGUGAGAAUCUGUGCUUUUUGUUGGUGAGUGAUUUUUUGGUGGGGCACCACGGGAUGUAUCGGCGGUGGUGGCGGGUGGCGUGUCUGUGCUUUUUGGCGUUGCUCGGGUUCAGUAACUUAGUUUCUGCAUAGGGGAACAGCUAAUUGCUGGCCAUGGCCAGAGACUCACCUUCAGUUGCUGGUGCCGUCUCGCCAUGUCUCCUGCGGUGGUGAGUGCUUCCUGCUUCAGAGAGCGUGAUGUGAAUAUCAUGUGUGUUUGUGCUCCUUCAGGCUGUAGUUUGAAUAUUUUUUGUCCAUAUGUUUUCAUUUUUUCCUGUGAUAAAUCAUAAAGUAGGUGUCAGAUUAUUUAUUAGAAACUAUUCUACAGCAGUUUCAGUCUAAGUUAUUGGAUGUUUCAGA